UUGAACGCUGGCGGCAGGCCUAACACAUGCAAGUCGAGCGGAUGAAGGGAGCUUGCUCCUGGAUUCAGCGGCGGACGGGUGAGUAAUGCCUAGGAAUCUGCCUGGUAGUGGGGGAUAACGUCCGGAAACGGGCGCUAAUACCGCAUACGUCCUGAGGGAGAAAGUGGGGGAUCUUCGGACCUCACGCUAUCAGAUGAGCCUAGGUCGGAUUAGCUAGUUGGUGGGGUAAAGGCCUACCAAGGCGACGAUCCGUAACUGGUCUGAGAGGAUGAUCAGUCACACUGGAACUGAGACACGGUCCAGACUCCUACGGGAGGCAGCAGUGGGGAAUAUUGGACAAUGGGCGAAAGCCUGAUCCAGCCAUGCCGCGUGAGUGAAGAAGGUCUUCGGAUUGUAAAGCACUUUAAGUUGGGAGGAAGGGCAGUAAGUUAAUACCUUGCUGUUUUGACGUUACCAACAGAAUAAGCACCGGCUAACUUCGUG
rnacentral:rRNA from 1 species